rnacentral:rRNA from 1 species
GAUGAACGCUGGCGGCGUGCUUAACACAUGCAAGUCGAACGGAAAGGCUCCUGCUUGCAGGGGUACUCGAGUGGCGAACGGGUGAGUAACACGUGGGUGAUCUGCCCUUCACUUCGGGAUAAGCCUGGGAAACUGGGUCUAAUACCGGAUAGGACGAUGUUUUGGAUGCCAUUGUGUAAAGUUUUUUCGGUGUGGGAUGAGCUCGCGGCCUAUCAGCUUGUUGGUGGGGUAAUGGCAUACCAAGGCGUCGACGGGUAGCCGGCCUGAGAGGGUGUACGGCCACAAUGGGACUGAGAUAGGGCCCAGAAGGCUACGGGAGGCAGCAGGGGGGAAUAUUGCACAAUGGGCGCAAGCCUGAUGCAGCGACGCCGCGUGGGGGAUGACGGCCUUCGGGUUGUAAACGCCUUUCGCUAGGGACGAAGCGCAAGUGACGGUACCUGGAGAAGAAGCACCGGCUAACUACGUG